rnacentral:lncRNA from 1 species
ACUAUUUCAAAUUUUCUUUUGUCGAUGGAUUGCUGAACUCUCUGCGGAGUUCAAUGUUCGCAACAUGUUUUGACCUUGUAAGGCGAUUCUAUUGGAUUAUUUAUGUUCGCAACAUGUUUUGACCUGUGUAAUAUGGACAUCUGGGUAACUUCUUGCUGAAGUCUCUGCGGAACCUUGUAAGACGAUCCUAUUGGAUUAUAUAUGUUCGCAACAUGUUUUGACCCGUGUAAUAUGGGCAUCUGGUUAAGUUCUCCAGACUUCCAGCUACUGUCAGAAACACCUGAC